UACGUAGGUGACCAGCGUUGUCCGGAUUUACUGGGCGUAAAGAGCGCGCAGGCGGUCGUUCAAGUCGAGUGUGAAAGCCCCCGGCUCAACUGGGGAGGGUCACUCGAUACUGAUCGACUGGAAGGCAGGAGAGGGAAGCGGAAUUCCCGGUGUAGUGGUGAAAUGCGUAGAUAUCUGGAGGAAUACCGGUGGCGAAGGCGGCAUCCUGGACCGGCAUUGACGCUGAUGAGCGAAAGCUAGGGGAGCAAACGGG
rnacentral:rRNA from 1 species